rnacentral:tRNA from 1 species
GCCACGGUGGUCUAGCGGUCAGAACGCUGGCCUUGUAAUCCUGGGGUCUCGGGUUCGAUUCCCGGCGUUGCC